rfam:Nicotiana sylvestris Nsyl_contig141200, whole genome shotgun sequence.
GGCGAUUGCAAUGAUGAUAACAUUUCCCAGCUCAUUAUGAGAUCUUAUUUGUUAAGGUCCGGGAAUAUACUCCGUUUCCAACACAUACAUCUGAGCUUCGCC